GUAUUGAUUGCGUGUGAUCGCAAAUAAAAUAAAAGACAUUCUACACUGCAUCAAUGUUUGUAUAAAAACGCAAAUGCCCCCUUUUGGAACAAACCAAAAGGAGAGCACCCACGCGGUGAUUCACAAAGGGGUGAGAUGGAUUGUAAGAGAGCACCGGAGCGUGCACAAAGUCAGCGACAGCCCCGGCACCUCCGUUAUACGAUAAUGAUCCUUCCGCAGGUUCACCUACGGAAA
rnacentral:misc_RNA from 1 species